GACGAACGCUGGCGGCGUGCUUAACACAUGCCAGUCGAACGGUGAAGGGACCGGUUUUUGCUGGUUCUGGAUGAGUGGCGAACGGGUGAGUAACACGUGAGUAACCUGCCCCCUUCUUCUGGAUAACCGCAUGAAAGUGUGGCUAAUACGGGAUAUUCUGCGCCUGCUGUAUGGUGGGUGUGGGAAAGAUAUUGUUUCGGUGGGGGAUGGGCUCGCGGCCUAUCAGCUUGUUGGUGGGGUGAUGGCCUACCAAGGCGGUGACGGGUAGCCGGCCUGAGAGGGUGGACGGUCACACUGGGACUGAGACACGGCCCAGACUCCUACGGGAGGCAGCAGUGGGGAAUAUUGCACAAUGGGCGCAAGCCUGAUGCAGCGACGCCGCGUGAGGGAUGGAGGCCUUCGGGUUGUAAACCUCUUUCGCCAGUGAAGCAGGCCUGUCCCUUUUGUGGGUGGGUUGACGGUAGCUGGAUAAGAAGCGCCGGCUAACUACGUG
rnacentral:rRNA from 1 species